GACGAACGCUAGCGGCGUGCUUUAAGCAUGCAAGUAGAACGAAUCUGUAGCAAUACAGAUAAGUUGCGAACGGCUGAGUAAUAAGUAAGAAUCUUUCCUUUGGUGGAGAAUACCUUGUCGAAAGACAAGCUAAUACUGCAUAAGAUCUCCGGAUGAAAGCGUGUAACUACGCGCCGAUUGAGGAGCUUACUUCCCAUCAGGUUGUUGGUAGGGUAAUGGCCUACCAAGCCUACGACGGGUACCCGAUCUGAGAGGAUGGACGGGCAGAAUGGGACUGAGACACGGCCCAUACACCUACGGGUGGCAGCAACUGGGAAUCGUACACAAUGGAGGAAACUCUGAUGUCGCGACGCCGCGUGAAGGAUGAAGGCGUAUUCGUUGUAAACUUCUUUUGCCAUAAGUGAGAACUUAUGGAGAAUAAGCACCUGCUAAUCUCGUGCCAGCCGCCGCAGUAAAAC
rnacentral:rRNA from 1 species